rnacentral:misc_RNA from 1 species
GAUGAAGAACGCAGUGAAAUGCGAUAAGUAAUGUGAAUUGCAGAAUUCAGUGAAUCAUCGAAUCUUUGAACGCACAUUGCGCCCCCUGGUAUUCCAUGGGGCAUGCCUGUUCGAGCGUCAUUUGUACCUUCAAGCUUUGCUUGGUGUUGGGUGUUUGUCCAUUCUCUUGCAGAGGGACUCGCCUUAAAGUAAUUGGCAGCCAGUGUUUUGGUUUUGAAGCGCAGCACAAGUCGCGAUUCAAAGCUAUACGCCCGCUUCCACAAGCCUUUUUCACUUUUGACCUCGGAUCAGGUAGGGAUACCCGCUGAACUUAAGCAUAUCAAUAAGCGGAGGA